rnacentral:rRNA from 1 species
UUAAAUGAAUUGACGGGGCCCGCACAAGCGGUGGAGCAUGUGGUUAAUUCGAUGCAACGCGAAGAACCCUACCUAGGCUUGACAUCCCUGGAAUUUUGUGGAAACACAAAAGUGCCUUUCGGGGAACCAGGAGACAGGUGGUGCAUGGUUGUCGUCAGCUCGUGUCGUGAGAUGUUGGGUUAAGUCCCGCAACGAGCGCAACCCCUACGUUUAGUUGCUAACGCGUGAAGGCGAGCACUCUAGACGAACUGCCGUUGACAAAACGGAGGAAGGUGGGAUGACGUCAAAUCAUCAUGCCCCUUAUGUUCUGGGCUACACACGUGCUACAAUGGCCGGUACAGACGGACGCAAAGCCGCGAGGUGGAGCAAAUCCUAAAAAGCCGGUCUCAGUUCGGAUUGCAGGCUGCAAUUCGCCUGCAUGAAGUCGGAAUCGCUAGUAAUCGCAGGUCAGCAUACUGCGGUGGAUACGUUCCCGGGCCUU